ACGAACGCUGGCGGCGUGCCUAAUACAUGCAAGUUGAGCGCUGAAGGUUGGUACUUGUACCGACUGGAUGAGCAGCGAACGGGUGAGUAACGCGUGGGGAAUCUGCCUUUGAGCGGGGGACAACAUUUGGAAACGAAUGCUAAUACCGCAUAAAAACUUUAAACACAAGUUUUAAGUUUGAAAGAUGCAAUUGCAUCACUCAAAGAUGAUCCCGCGUUGUAUUAGCUAGUUGGUGAGGUAAAGGCUCACCAAGGCGAUGAUACAUAGCCGACCUGAGAGGGUGAUCGGCCACAUUGGGACUGAGACACGGCCCAAACUCCUACGGGAGGCAGCAGUAGGGAAUCUUCGGCAAUGGACGAAAGUCUGACCGAGCAACGCCGCGUGAGUGAAGAAGGUUUUCGGAUCGUAAAACUCUGUUGGUAGAGAAGAACGUUGGUGAGAGUGGAAAGCUCAUCAAGUGACGGUAACUACCCAGAAAGGGACGGCUAACUACGU
rnacentral:rRNA from 1 species